rnacentral:rRNA from 1 species
GACGAACGCUGGCGGCGUGCUUAACACAUGCAAGUCGAACGAAGAGCGAUGGAAGCUUGCUUCUAUCAAUCUUAGUGGCGAACGGGUGAGUAACGCGUAAUCAACCUGCCCUUCAGAGGGGGACAACAGUUGGAAACGGCUGCUAAUACCGCAUACGAUCUAACCUCGGCAUCGAGGAAAGAUGAAAGGUGGCCUCUAUGUAUAAGCUAUCACUGAAGGAGGGGAUUGCGUCUGAUUAGCUAGUUGGAGGGGUAACGGCCCACCAAGGCGAUGAUCAGUAGCCGGUCUGAGAGGAUGAACGGCCACAUUGGGACUGAGACACGGCCCAGACUCCUACGGGAGGCAGCAGUGGGGAAUCUUCCGCAAUGGACGAAAGUCUGACGGAGCAACGCCGCGUGAGUGAUGACGGCCUUCGGGUUGUAAAGCUCUGUUAAUCGGGACGAAAGGCCUUCUUGCGAAUAGUGAGAAGGAUUGACGGUACCGGAAUAGAAAGCCACGGCUAACUACGUG